rnacentral:lncRNA from 1 species
UAAUAAUAAUCUAAUAAGCGAAGUAGUCGUCGUCUGACUAAUUGGCUCGAACACUAGACCACUUGUGCUCGCCCAUUCUGUCUUGCCCUACCUAAAUGGAAUGGCUCUGUUAGCUAUGCUGCUCCCUGACUUGAGUCCCCACGUCCGCUCUUCUCUGCCCGCAAGCCAAGAAGUUGGCUUUGCCAACACAACAUUAGGG